AAAAAACUAGCAAGGAGAUUGUCACCACAGCUGAUGACCAGUAGAACAGACGAUCAAUAGCAUCGAUUGACUGUUUUUCAAACAUUGGUCAGAAAAGAGUACCAUGAUAUCGACAAGAAAGAUACCGUCACUACUUCCAAACUUUUACUAUUCACUCAGUAAAUCGAAGACUUAAAUUAUUUAUGAAUGAAAACCACGUUUAUUUUGUUUAGUUGAAGUCCUUUCAAAGUCACACU
rnacentral:lncRNA from 1 species